AGUGAACGCUGGCGGUAGGCCUAACACAUGCAAGUCGAACGGCAGCACAGUAAGAGCUUGCUCUUACGGGUGGCGAGUGGCGGACGGGUGAGGAAUACAUCGGAAUCUACUUUUUCGUGGGGGAUAACGUAGGGAAACCUACGCUAAUACAGCAUACGACCUACGGGUGAAAGCAGGGGAUCUUCGGACCUUGCGCGAUUGAAUGAGCCGAUGUCGGAUUAGCUAGUUGGCGGGGUAAAGGCCCACCAAGGCGACGAUCCGUAGCUGGUCUGAGAGGAUGAUCAGCCACACUGGAACUGAGACACGGUCCAGACUCCUACGGGAGGCAGCAGUGGGGAAUAUUGGACAAUGGGCGCAAGCCUGAUCCAGCCAUACCGCGAGGGUGAAGAAGGCCUUCGGGUUGUAAAGCCCUUUUGUUGGGAAAGAAAAGCAGCAGGUUAAUACCCCGCUGUUCUGACGGUACCCAAAGAAUAAGCACCGGCUAACUUCGUG
rnacentral:rRNA from 1 species